AGAACGAACGCUGGCGGCGUGCUUAACACAUGCAAGUCGUACGAGAAACCGGAACUUCGGUUCCGGGAGUAAAGUGGCGCACGGGUGAGUAACGCGUAGGUAAUCUACCCUUGGGUUUGGAAUAACCCGCCGAAAGGCGGACUAAUACCGGAUACAAUCUUUCGGAGGGAUCUGAAAGAUCAAAGGUGGCCUCUCCAUGGAUGCUACUGCCUGAGGAUGAGCCUGCGUCCCAUUAGCUUGUUGGUAGGGUAAUGGCCUACCAAGGCUACGAUGGGUAGCUGGUCUGAGAGGAUGAUCAGCCACACUGGAACUGGAACACGGUCCAGACUCCUACGGGAGGCAGCAGUGAGGAAUAUUGCGCAAUGGGGGAAACCCUGACGCAGCGACGCCGCGUGGGCGAAGAAGGCCUUCGGGUCGUAAAGCCCUGUCUAGAGGGAAGAAAUUCUCAAUGGAAUAAUACCCAUUGAGAUUGACGGUACCUCUGGAGGAAGCACCGGCUAACUCCGUGCCAGCAGCCGCGGUAAUACGGAGGGUGCGAGCGUUGUUCGGAAUUACUGGGCGUAAAGCGGGUGUAGGCGGUUUGUUAAGUCAGAUGUGAAAGCCCACGGCUCAACCGUGGAAGUGCAUCUGAAACUGGCUUACUUGAGUACCGGAGAGGGAAGUGGAAUUCCUGGUGUAGGGGUGAAAUCCGUAGAUAUCAGGAGGAACACCGGUGGCGAAGGCGACUUCCUGGACGGAUACUGACGCUGAGAUCCGAAAGCGUGGGGAGCAAACAGGAUUAGAUACCCUGGUAGUCCACGCCCUAAACGAUGGGCACUAGGUGCAGGGGGUGUUGACCCCUCCUGUGCCGCAGCUAACGCAUUAAGUGCCCCGCCUGGGGAGUACGGCCGCA
rnacentral:rRNA from 1 species